rnacentral:tRNA from 1 species
CGGGGCGUGGCGCAGCCUGGUAGCGCGCCAGCUUUGGGAGCUGGAUGCCUGAGGUUCAAAUCCUCUCGCCCCGACCA